GGAACCCCUGAUGCAGCCAUGCCGCGUGAAUGAAGAAGGCCUUCGGGUUGUAAAGUUCUUUCGGUAGCGAGGAAGGUAUCAAAUUUAAUAGAUUUGGUAAUUGACGUUAACUACAGAAGAAGCACCGGCUAACUCCGUGCCAGCAGCCGCGGUAAUACGGAGGGUGCGAGCGUUAAUCGGAAUAACUGGGCGUAAAGGGCACGCAGGCGGUUGAUUAAGUGAGAUGUGAAAGCCCCGGGCUUAACCUGGGAAUUGCAUUUCAUACUGGUCAACUAGAGUACUUUAGGGAGGGGUAGAAUUCCACGUGUAGCGGUGAAAUGCGUAGAGAUGUGGAGGAAUACCGAAGGCGAAGGCAGCCCCUUGGGAAUGUACUGACGCUCAUGUGCGAAAGCGUGGGGAGCAAACAGGAUUAGAUACCCUGGUAGUCCACGCUGUAAACGCUGUCGAUUUGGGGAUUGGACUGUGAGUCUGGUGCCCGAAGCUAACGUGAUAAAUCGACCGCCUGGGGAGUACGGCCGCAAGGUUAAAACUCAAAUGAAUUGACGGGGGCCCGCACAAGCGGUGGAGCAUGUGGUUUAAUUCGAUGCAACGCGAAGAACCUUACCUACUCUUGACAUCCAUGGAAUCUUGUAGAGAUACGAGAGUGCCUUCGGGAACCAUGAGACAGGUGCUGCAUGGCUGUCGUCAGCUCGUGUUGUGAAAUGUUGGGUUAAGUCCCGCAACGAGCGCAACCCUUAUCCUUUGUUGCCAGCGAUUAGGUCGGGAACUCAAAGGAGACUGCCGGUGAUAAACCGGAGGAA
rnacentral:rRNA from 1 species